rnacentral:lncRNA from 11 species
GCUAGUUUUAUGGGCAUUAUCCCAUGAGGCUGGCAAACUGGAAAUGCAGCAGAAUAAUCACAUCGGCUGCUACUAAGAUUUCUGAAACUUGCGUAGCUGUUGCUACAGGAACCAAGAGUACCCGGGAAACAUGGAUAGCAGCAAAAGGAGCCUCCGUCUUCCAGUCUAGGCAUAUGAAUAUAUGGCUUAGAAAGCAAAUCAACUGUCUCAUUAAUGAAGGGAACAACAUCAAGGCAAAUGUUUGGGAUCUGCAAGUGACUAUGAGGAACAUGAAAGCUGAGCUCAAAAGGAUAAAGCACACUGAAGAGAAAAUAACUUAUUUAGAAAAAGAGAUUGAAACAGCAAGGAAAAAUCAUGAAGAAGAGAACAUAACCACAUCUUCAGAGGAGCAGUAUCUUAAAAAGCUGGAGAAAGACAAGGAAAAUUUGCAUUUGAGAAUCUUCAUGCUUUCUGAGAAGAGGGAACUUCAGGAAUGCAAACUGAUCUGUGUGGAGGAAGAUGACGUUUUCACAAAGAUGAAGCACCAAAUCAGAGAGCUAGAAGAGUAUAUACAAGAAUACCAAGGGAAAAUACAGGUUCUUGAAGACAGAGAGAAAAACCUGAAGAAGGAGCUGUCAGCAAUUGUGAAAGACAAGACUCAACAUCGUAUCAAGUUUCAAGGAAGAAAAAAUACGGAAAGAAGAAAAUUCUGUGAAGAAGCAGCUUUGUGGUGGGUAAGGAUAGCCUGGAUCUUCAAAGUGUUGUGGCACUUUGUUGGCUUCCUGCUUGUGAUCCUCCUGCUGGUGUUUCUAGUCACCCUCUUCAUUCUCCAUUUCUGCCUUUCAAAUCAAACUAUGACAGAGGCAUAUCACCACUCUACAUGGCAGAUCAUGGGCUAUUAUAUCCAGCCGUAUAUGGAGAUGCACAGUUCUGGAAUCUUACCAAACUGAUCUCCAAACUGAAAGAAGAUGCUGAAUAGAGAAAGCCUGUCAUUAUAAUGCAUCAGAGUUUGUGGAUAAAGCUGAUAUCCUAUCAACUUUCCUACAUUUGAGCUACAUUUUUUCAUACUAUUAACCAUCAUUGUUGGAUGCCUCAAUUUGUGAUCCAUGAAACAGGAAGCAUACACUAAGGGUGUCCUGUACAACUCAGGUCUAGGUUUACUUGAAAUACCUUACCUGCCUGUAUGAGCCUCCCUGAGCUGUAAGGAAUUCAGGGGAAGCACUUCACAGGUAAAUUAGCUGGAAACAUGGCACAGGGCUCCUACCUGCCUUUUUGAUGACAGGCUAAGAUCUUUGUAUUCCAGAAAGCAUUAGGGAAUUGAUCAUUAACGAGAGAGAGGUUUUUAAUGACACUAUAAAGGUGACUUGUUAAUAAUGCUUGCUUUAAAGUAAUAUUUCAAAUGGUUUUAAUUUUGCUGUUAGUUUAAUACUGUUUUAAUCUUUACUUUUGGAUAAGAAGAUAAAUAUUUUUAAUGUUUUUAACUACAUGGGUUUAUUAUCAUUUGUAAGUUUAAUUCCUGUCUAGAAUACACAUGACCUAAAGUGAUGAGGAUAAUGGUGACAGAUAGUAAACCACAAGGAUCCCAAGAAAUAUCCUGAUUUUUCUGCCUGCUGGACUACAAUGUAACAUAAAAACAGUCCUAUCUUGUCUAGUAAUGUCAAAUCUUAGUAAAAAAAAUAUUUCAACUUAAAAAUGUUAAAAACCAUAAUUGUCAGAGAUUAUUCGUAAUGUGCGAAUUAUUUUAUGCAAAAUUCACACAAAUUAUUUUUGUGCACAAAAUAGCUUUUUUCUACAAUAAAUAUUUUCUGCUUAGAAAAUUCUACAGUUGAUUAUUUAUUCUGCACAGAAUUAACUUUUUUAACAAAGAGAAAAGUAGCUGGUAACUGUUUUCUGUUCAGGGAUAAUUUUCAGCACAGAAAAUAUUGUUUUCUACACAGUAAAUGAUAUUUUUGUGAAAGAGUACAAAAAUUAUGCAUAAAGGAAGUACCAAACUGCAUAAAAUAUUGUCAGUCAAUUAUUGUUCUUGAUUGCUGUUACU